ensembl:misc_RNA predicted gene, 27698
GAAACGGAGGUUUUACUCUGUCUAAGGACCCUGUCCAGAGAAUGCAUACAGACUUGGACAUUGCUUCCUCCGAUGCCUGUUUCUUUAACUGAUUGAGGAAGGGAGGUGUUUCUGGGGGCUAUGAAGAUGCAGACAUCACUCACGGAUACUUCUGUUGGGUGACACCUCCAAACACUGAGUUCUUCUAGUUCCACUUGGUGUGUAGCUGUUAUUAGUGACAUUUUUCUGAGUUACAGCAAA